rnacentral:misc_RNA from 1 species
GGCUGGAUCACCUCCUUUCUAGGGAGAUGCCGAGUCGGGCUCGUCCUGAUUCGGUCAACCUUAGGUCAAUUCGACCACAUGACCCUGUGAAUCCCGGGUUCUCCCGGUGACUCGUUCAAUCGGGACAGGGUCGGUCGUAACGUUCACCAGGUUUGCACGUCAUUCGUUUUUCGGGGACCGAGUAGGAGCGGUCGCUCGAGCGGGUCUACCGAGGGCCUGUAGCUCAGUUGGUUAGAGCGUCCGCCUGAUAAGCGGGAGGUCGGCUGUUCAAAUCAGCCCAGGCCCACCACCCGCUGGCGCCAACCGGGGGCUGUAGCUCAGCUGGGAGAGCGCGGGCUUUGCAAGCCUGAGGUCGUCGGUUCGAUCCCGAUCAGCUCCACCAAUCGGUUUCCUAGAGUUUUUGGUUCGACUCCGUACCGGAGUCGCCCGCCUCACACAGGCGGAUGGUUCGUAUCGAGCCAGCCGAAACGCGAUCUUUGACAAUCGAAUAGAUUUCUGGGUCCAAGCGGAGAAUUGAAAGCAGUGCCUUGGCAAUGCGAAGCGAAGAUCGUUCGCUUCUCUGCAACGAAUUAGAGAAUCAUUUUGGUCAAGCUACGAAGAGCAGACGGUGGAUGCCUUGGCGCCAGGAGACGAUGAAGGACGUUGGUAGCAGCGAAAUGCUCCGGGGAGGCGCAAACCAUCCUGUGAUCCGGAGAUGUCCGAAUGGGGAAACCCGGCCAGAGUCAUAUCUGGUCGCUGCGAUCCUGAAUACAUAGGGGUCGCGGAGUCAACCCGGGGAACUGAAACAUCUAAGUACCCGGUGGAAAAGAAAUCAACCGAGACUCCCCUAGUAGCGGCGAGCGAACGGGGAUCAGCCUAAACCGGUGGGAGGCAACUCCUUCCGGGGUCGUGGGACUCCGAUGUGGGACCGUCAUGGUUAGUGGAACGAUCCGAAAAAUCGGCCAAAGAGGGUGAUAGCCCCGUACACGAAAACCGGUGACGGCUCUAGGAGUAUCCCGAGUACCGCGAGGCACGUGGAACCUCGUGGGAAUCUGGGUGGACCAUCAUCCAAGGCUAAGUACUACCUGGCGACCGAUAGUGAACCAGUACCGUGAGGGAAAGGCGAAAAGAACCCCGGUGAGGGGAGUGAAAUAGAUCCUGAAACCGUCUGCUUACAUACAGUGGGAGCACUAUGGUGCUUGCAUCAAGUGUGACUGCGUACCUUUUGUUUAACGGGUCCGCGAGUUACUCCUCAGUAGCAUGGUUAAGCCGUUAGGCGUAGCCGGAGCGAAAGCGAGUCUGAAUAGGGCGAAUAGUUACUGGGGGUAGACCCGAAACCAGGUGAUCUACCCAUGGCCAGGUUGAAGCUCGGGUAAAACCGAGUGGAGGACCGAACCGUAGUAGGUUGAAAACUACCCGGAUGAGCUGUGGGUAGGGGUGAAAGGCCAAUCAAACUUGGAGAUAGCUGGUUCUCCCCGAAAUAUAUUGAGGUAUAGCCUCGUGUGAUCACCAUCGGAGGUAGAGCACUGGAUGGGCUAGGGGUCCUACCAGAUUACCGAACCCAACCAAACUCCGAAUGCCGAUGAGUGCAGCACGGGAGUCAGACUGCGAGCGCUAAGGUUCGUAGUCGAGAGGGAAACAACCCAGACCGCCAGUUAAGGUCCCUAAGUUCGCGCUAAGUGGUAAAGGAAGUGGGAGCGCUCAAACAACCAGGAGGUUGGCUUAGAAGCAGCCACCCUUUAAAAAGUGCGUAAUAGCUUACUGGUCUAGUGAACCCGCGCCGAAAAUGUAACGGGGCUCAAGCGCGGCACCGAAACUGCGGGCUCGGCGAGUCUCCGGACUUGCCGAGCGGUAGGGGAGCGUUCCAGUCGCCUGUGAAGCCCGAUCGUGAGAACGGGUGGAGGUUCUGGAAGUGCUAAUGCGGACACGAGUAGCGAUAAAGCAGGUGAGAAACCUGCUCGCCGUAAGCCCAAGGGUUCCUGGGUAAAGCUAAUCUUCUCAGGGUCAGUCGGCCCCUAAGCUCAGGGCGAAAGCCGUAGGCGAUGGGAAACGGGUUAAUAUUCCCGUACCACUAGAUAUCCGUUCGACCGAAGGGGGGACGGAGAAGGGCAACCAAGCCGGCGAUUGGACGUGCCGGUGAAAGCUCGUAGGCGGGUGGCGUAGGUAAAUCCGCGCCGCCAUUCAACGCCGAGAAGCGAGACGAGUGGGCUUCGGCCCGCGAAGUUGGUGACCCCAUGCUUCCGAGAAAAGCCUCGUAGGGAGGAUGUCUGGUGACCGUACCGUGAACCGACUCAGGUGGGCGGGCAGAGAAUGCCAAGGCGCUUGGGAGAACUCUGGUCAAGGAACUCGGCAAAUUGACACCGUAACUUCGGGAUAAGGUGUGCCCGAGCUCGUGAAGGGAUUCACUCCUGGAGCGAGUCCGGGCUGCAGAGAGCAGGGGGUAGCGACUGUUUACUAAAAACACAGGACUCUGCGAAGUCGAGAGACGACGUAUAGGGUCUGACGCCUGCCCGGUGCCGGAAGGUUAAGGGGACUUGUCAGCCGCAAGGCGAAGCGAUGAACCGAAGCCCCGGUAAACGGCGGCCGUAACUAUAACGGUCCUAAGGUAGCGAAAUUCCUUGUCGGGUAAGUUCCGACCUGCACGAAUGGCGUAACGACUUCCCCACUGUCUCGACCAGAGACUCAGCGAAACUGAAUUGCCGGUGAAGAUGCCGGCGACCCGCGGCAGGACGAAAAGACCCCGUGCACCUUAACUACAACUUCGCAGUGAUCGUCGGUUCAGCAUGUGUAGGAUAGGUGGGAGGCUUUGAAGCCGGGACGCUAGUUUCGGUGGAGCCAACGUUGAAAUACCACCCUUGUUGUGCUGCCGAUCUAACCUUGGCCCGUAAUCCGGGCCGGAGACACUGCGUGGUGGGUAGUUUGACUGGGGCGGUCGCCUCCCAAAAAGUAACGGAGGCGCG